rnacentral:rRNA from 1 species
UACGAAGGGGGCUAGCGUUGUUCGGAUUUACUGGGCGUAAAGCGCGCGUAGGCGGAUUGUUAAGUCAGGGGUGAAAUCCUGGAGCUCAACUCCAGAACUGCCUUUGAUACUGGGGAGCUCGAGUCCGGAAGAGGUGAGUGGAACUCCGAGUGUAGAGGUGAAAUUCGUAGAUAUUCGGAAGAACACCAGUGGCGAAGGCGGCUCACUGGUCCGGUACUGACGCUGAGGUGCGAAAGCGUGGGGAGCAAACAGG